rnacentral:sRNA from 1 species
AGAUGCUAGAUGAACUGAUGACUAUCACCUCAUUGGCCACCAGAUCCUAUUCUUUUUACUAACCUGAUUGGUCAGAUGGGUAUCUCUUCCUUCCUUCUCCAUACCAUGUGUGUCUUAUCUGAAACAAUUCACUCAAUCAAGAAAAAUUACCUUUCUUCAUAGAAGAGGACUCUCCUUUGCACAAGGGUAAUGACUUUCUCCUACUAGAAUUUCCAUAUAAGGUUUAAUAGAUCCACAGCUGU